UGCGGAUUAAUUCGAUGCAACGCGAAGACCUUACCAAGGCUUGACAUGUAGAGGAAAAGUGCAGAGAUGCACUCCCCGCAAGGUCUCUACACAGUUGGUGCAUGGUUGUCGUCAGCUCGUGUCGUGAGAUGUUGGGUUAAGUCCCGCAACGAGCGCAACCCUCGUCCUAUGUUGCCAGCACGUUAUGGUGGGAACUCAUGGGAUACUGCCGGGGUCAACUCGGAGGAAGGUGGGGAUGACGUCAAAUCAUCAUGCCCCUUAUGUCUUGGGCUUCACGCAUGCUACAAUGGCCAGUACAGAGGGCUGCAAUACCGUAAGGUGGAGCGAAUCCCAAAAAGCUGGUCUCAGUUCGGAUUGAGGUCUGCAACUCGACCUCAUGAAGUCGGAGUCGCUAGUAAUCGUAGAUCAGCAACGCUACGGUGAAUACGUUCCCGGGCCUUGUACACACCGCCCGUCAAGUCACGAAAGUCGGUAACACCCGAAGCCGGUGGCCUAACCGCAAGGAGGGAGCCGUCGAAGGU
rnacentral:rRNA from 1 species